AGUGAACGCUGGCGGUAGGCCUAACACAUGCAAGUCGAACGGCAGCACAGUAAGAGCUUGCUCUUACGGGUGGCGAGUGGCGGACGGGUGAGGAAUACAUCGGAAUCUACUUUUUCGUGGGGGAUAACGUAGGGAAACUUACGCUAAUACCGCAUACGACCUACGGGUGAAAGCAGGGGAUCUUCGGACCUUGCGCGAUUGAAUGAGCCGAUGUCGGAUUAGCUAGUUGGCGGGGGAAAGGCCCACCAAGGCGACGAUCCGUAGCUGGUCUGAGAGGAUGAUCACCCACACUGGAACUGAGACACGGUCCAGGCUCCUACGGGAGGCAGCAGUGGGGAAUAUUGGACAAUGGGCGCAAGCCUGAUCCAGCCAUACCGCGUGGGUGAAGAAGGCCUUCGGGUUGUAAAGCCCUUUUGUUGGGAAAGAAAAGCAGCAGGUUAAUACCCCGCUGUUCUGACGGUACCCAAAGAAUAAGCACCGGCUAACUUCGUG
rnacentral:rRNA from 1 species